rnacentral:rRNA from 1 species
AUUGAACGCUGGCGGCAGGCUUAACACAUGCAAGUCGAGCGGGGAAAGGUAGCUUGCUACCUGACCUAGCGGCGGACGGGUGAGUAAUGCUUAGGAAUCUGCCUAUUAGUGGGGGACAACAUUCCGAAAGGAAUGCUAAUACCGCAUACGCCCUACGGGGGAAAGCAGGGGAUCUUCGGACCUUGCGCUAAUAGAUGAGCCUAAGUCAGAUUAGCUAGUUGGUGGGGUAAAGGCCUACCAAGGCGACGAUCUGUAGCGGGUCUGAGAGGAUGAUCGGCAACACUGGGACUGAGACACGGCCCAGACUCCUACGGGAGGCAGCAGUGGGGAAUAUUGGACAAUGGGCGAAAGCCUGAUCUAGCCAUGCCGCGUGUGUGAAGAAGGCCUUUUGGUUGUAAAGCACUUUAAGCGAGGAGGAGGCUACUUGGAUUAAUACUCUAGGAUAGUGGACGUUACUCGCAGAAUAAGCACCGGCUAACUCUGUGCCAGCAGCCGCCGUAAAAC